rnacentral:rRNA from 1 species
GAUGAACGCUAGCGGCAGGCCUAACACAUGCAAGUCGAGGGGCAUCACGGAUUGCUUGCAAUCUGAUGACGACCGGCGCACGGGUGCGUAACGCGUAUACAACCUACCUUUUAGCGGGGAAUAGCCCAGGGAAACUUGGAUUAAUGCCCCAUAGUAUAUAGACUUCUCCUGAAGUUUAUAUUAAACAUUUAUGGCUAUUAGAUGGGUAUGCGUCCUAUUAGUUAGUUGGUAAGGUAACGGCUUACCAAGGCAGCGAUAGGUAGGGGUCCUGAGAGGGAGAUCCCCACACUGGUACUGAGACACGGACCCGACUCCUACGGGAGGCAGCAGUGAGGAAUAUUGGACAAUGGGCGAGAGCCUGAUCCAGCCAUGCCGCGUGCAGGAAGACUGCCCUAUGGGUUGUAAACUGCUUUUACAGAGGAAGAACCACCCCCACGUGUGGGGGUUUGACGGUACUCUGCGAAUAAGGAUCGGCUAACUCCGUG